AUUGAACGCUGGCGGCAGGCCUAACACAUGCAAGUCGAGCGGAGCGGCGGACGGGUGAGUAAUGCCUAGGAAUCUGCCUGGUAGUGGGGGAUAACGUCAGGAAACGGGCGCUAAUACCGCAUAAUAUCAGAUGAGCCUAGGUCGGAUUAGCUAGUUGGUGGGGUAAAGGCCUACCAGGGCGACGAUCCGUAACUGGUAUGAGAGGAUGAUCAGUCACACUGGAACUGAGACACGGUCCAGACUCCUACGGGAGGCAGCAGUGGGGAAUCUUGCGCAAUGGGCGAAAGCCGUAUCCAGCCAUGCCGCGUGUGUGAAGAAGGUCUUCGGAUUGUAAAGCACUUUAAGUUGGGAAGCGGUACCAACACAAUAAGCACCGGCUAACUUCGUGCCAGCAGCCGCGGUAAUAC
rnacentral:rRNA from 1 species